AUUGAACGCUGGCGGCAGGCUUAACACAUGAAAGUCGAGCGAGCGGCGGACGGGUGAGCAAUGUCUGGGAAACUGACUGAGGGAGGGGGAUAACUACUGGAACAGGUAUAUAAUAACGCAUACACUGAGAUGAGCCCAGAUGGGAUUAGCUAGGAGGUGGGGUAAUGGCACACCUAGGCGACGAUCCCUAGCUGGUCUGAGAGGAUGACCAUCCACACUGGAACUGAGACACGGUCCAGACUCCUACGGGAGGCAGCAGUGGGGAAUAUUGCACAAGGGGCGCAAGCCUGAUGCAGCCAUGCCGCGUGUGUGAAGAAGGCCUUCGGGUUGUAAAGCACUUUCAGCGAGGAGGCGUUACUCGCAGAAGAAGCACCGGCUAACUCCGUGCCAGCAGCCGCGGUAAUUC
rnacentral:rRNA from 1 species